AGGGUACCAUCAGGUGCUAGCCCUCCACUUGAGCACCAUGGAUCAGUUAAGACCUGGAAAAAAGGUUGAAAAUUACGGAGCAGUAUGUGCGUUUUAAGCCGAAAAAUUUCAUGCCAAGACAUGGAGGAGUCAUAGAGACACAUGAUCUGACAUGCAUACAAGAAGGAACAAGGCGACAACGAUUAGGAGGCAAUUCAACUGUUGAUUUACCCAAAGAAGUGGCAUCAAACAUGGCAAGUUUAUUGGUAGGC